UACGUAGGUGGCAAGCGUUGUCCGGAUUUACUGGGCGUAAAGGAUGCGUAGGCGGACAUUUAAGUCAGAUGUGAAAUACCCGAGCUUAACUUGGGUGCUGCAUUUGAAACUGGGUGUCUAGAGUGCAGGAGAGGUAAGUGGAAUUCCUAGUGUAGCGGUGAAAUGCGUAGAGAUUAGGAAGAACACCAGUGGCGAAGGCGACUUACUGGACUGUAACUUGACGCUGAGGCAUGAAAGCGUGGGGAGCAAACAGG
rnacentral:rRNA from 1 species